rnacentral:rRNA from 1 species
UACGUAGGGGGCAAGCGUUAUCCGGAUUUACUGGGUGUAAAGGGAGCGCAGAUGCAAGUCUGGAGUGAAAGCCCGGGGCUCAACCCCGGGACUGCUUUGGAAACUGUAUGGCUAGAGUGCUGGAGAGGCAAGCGGAAUUCCUAGUGUAGCGGUGAAAUGCGUAGAUAUUAGGAAGAACACCAGUGGCGAAGGCGGCUUGCUGGACAGUAACUGACGUUCAGGCUCGAAAGCGUGGGGAGCAAACAGG